AUCGAACAACGGCGGUUCAUAACACUGCUGACACUGCACCGACAUGAACACAGCUGCCGUGUUCCUGUUUCUUCUUCCUGUGGCAUUUGCAGGGUGGAGAGAAGACGAUGCGAACCAGGUACCGAGGUGCGACCUGCCGCAAAAUCCUUGCGGAAUGAGUGGCAUUGGGAGUAGAGACAGGUGGUUUUAUGCCAAAGGCCUCGGCAGGUGCAAAGAAUCCGGAGAUUGCAAUGAGUAUCAGAUACAUGGAUAUUCAAAUUCCCUUUCAUGCAACACAGCACACCGACAUGUUUGCUCACCUACUCGACCUACAACCACCACCGCCACAACAACCACCACGACAACCACGCCUUCAACACCAGCUGUGACAGCAGAUUGCGGAGCUCCGGUAACGAAGCAAGGAAACGAGACAACCAAUCAGGAAGAAAAGAAGGAGAGGACGAAGAAGAAAAACAAGAAGAAGGACAAGAAGAAGAAGCCAAAGAAAGCUACGAAAGUGGAUGAAUAAGUGUGCCCAAAAGCCUAAUAAAACCUAAAUACCUUUCAGGAUUAUAAAAAGGAG